AUUCCGUAUACCUCAGUCUUCGGUAAUGUGGACAGUUGAGUCCUUCUGUCAAGUCAGCUGUGCUCAGAGAUACACCGUGCGAUGCUGCAGUGGCUUUGCUCAUGAAGCCUUCGCCUGGGGAGACAGGCAGUCAGGUUCCUGGGAUGAGGCUGAGCGCCACAGUGAGUGUGAGGACGGACAGCUGAGGCUUUGGGAGCAUCGCAGGGGCCUGGUCUGAGGCCUGAGAAGGAGGGCAGUGGAGUCCAGGAAAGACCCUCAGGGGGAAGCGCCCCUGGAGAGCAGGAGGGACGGUGGAGUGCGCAGGUGGAGGCUCUCAAGCAGGUACUCCUGAGAACUCCUCCUCCG
rnacentral:lncRNA from 1 species